AAUAUAAUUGUAUCCUUAAACGGAAAUAUAACGUUUUCUUUACUAUAUACUAGCAGAUGAAAUAAACAGAAGAACUAUUGUAAACAUUUGCUGUUAAAUAUCUGCAAGCGCAUACCAGGUACCAUACAUGCCACAUCGUCUUGAUGAAUGUGCCUGCAGACUCCUAAAGCUGUAACCAGAUGUGUGGUUACGCUCAAUUUGGCUCAGUAUGCGUUCUUUCUAGUCAAAAAAAUUCACGGCGACGUUGCAUUUUCAUCAGCAAACUUACGAUGCAAGAGCAUGCCUCGCGGAAGCUGUAUCUACAGAUUCCGUUAUGAAAUCCAGGAAUCAGGGGAAACUGUUUACUAUUUUGUGCUGCACAGUUCAGCUCUUGUAGGCUUCAUUACUUACAGAAAAAUGGCGGCAUGCGGCCUUCCUGUGCAAAAGUCGCAAUAUGGAUUGGUGGGAGAGGUUGAUGGAGUCUAGUGUGGCAACUCAUGCAGUGAACAGCGUAGCUGCCUCAACUGGAGCGUACUAUUCCAACUGCUCCCCAGCAGAAUCUUAACUAUCAGUACUUCGCUUAUAAGACUAGCAUCCUUGAUAAGUAUACUAGCCGAAGAUGUGAUCGAGCUCCUUGCCAUAGGCUAUUGAAGUCGCUUGAGUUGGAGUAGCUUAGUGCUUAAUGACCGCUGAAAGGUAGGACUUGUUGCAGUGGAGGCAUCCUAUCUGCGCUUCGUCUUGCAGCCUUGUUUAUCUCUCUCCGCCGCGAUAGCGAUUGGUGAAAUGCUCACACCACAAUUGGGUCGCUUGUUCACACGUACGCACGUUCCCAACAGGCGCCCAGACAGAGCACAUAAUGACAUGCCUUCGCAAGGCUGGGGCUCACUGCAGCGCAUCAUCAUCAUAGGGCUCUUACGCUUGAUUAUUUUUCGAAUACGGUAGCACGAAAUAUACAUAUGUCAUGCAUACCAUGAGGGAACUGAAUUUAUUUUGUUUCCUUGCACUGCCCAGUUAAGAUAUUGUGCACUACUAAGUGUUGGCAACUAAAUCUGACACGCCCCACCUAACCAAUUUUAAUUCCCAAUAAAUAUACAGAUGCUUACAAGGAAGGGAAUGGUUCUCAGAGACUGGCUCUAAAUGCUCGCAGAGCUGAUGAUUGGAAGUGUCACAUAGGGUCAGACGUAAUGUCCAUUCCCAUAUAUUCCAUGUAGCAUGCCUGUCUGUCUUUGUAUAAAGCUGUUUAAAUCGCAUCGCAGCAUUUCACCGUUUUCUACUUUAUGAAAGCUGCAGUCAUGACUAAAGGUAGUGAAGGAACGAUGUAACAGAUCUAUUUAUUUGUCAUUUUUCAUUGCACAAUUACGGAAAUACGCACAAUACUCACAAAAGUCAAAUAAAUUUACACAAAAAAGGGGAAAUAGAGAACGUAACACUUCGUUAAGCUGUGCCACGAAUACUGGGAAUUUUUUGUAUGCAUUAUUUUUAGAGCUCUUAUUUUUCUAUCGCGAAUAAGGGGCGACAAGUGUGACGCUUGUACUGAAAUACUCAGUCUUUGUAUGCUUUCGUGGCAACCGCUCACAAAAAAUAAGCUUGCUUUCGUUGUGAAGCAAGGCUAUAAAGUAGCCUUCGCGCGCAUAAGUCCUUGCUUCUGUAAAUUUUUUUGCACAAUGAUUUACAUAACAUUUUUCUAUAUUUCGUUCUCUUCCUGCCACUUAUGCCUUCCAGAUGCAGCCACAAUGUAAGUAAAGUUCACUUUCUGCUUCUUUCUUCUGUAGGUCAGCGAGCAGGAACGUAAGCUAAUCGUAUGCUCUCUCUUUCCAUGUCAAAAGCCCCGCAGAUGCGACCAAAAGCCUGGCUGCGCUGAAAUCGCACAACCUUCCAGCACUCAAGAAAAGCUACGAAGUCAUUGAGAAGCUCCUCCUGGGCAACCAAUCCCCACUGACCACCGAGGAAGAGGAAUCAGUCGUGGAAUCGUUGAAGGCUCUCACAACUCUGGAGGCAAACCUUGAUCCUGAAAGUGAAGAGUAUUUCCUGGCGAACAUCAUUCAGAAACUUGUUGUCUGGGCAGUUCAACAAGGUGUGUCCAAGGCUGUCUCACAUGGUAUGGAGGCUAUGAUGCAGAAGGGAUAAAUGAGCUGUAAUUCUAUCGACCAGUGCGGCACAAAUAAAAUACGUGAACACAA